rnacentral:lncRNA from 1 species
GACGCAGAACGGAAGCGCUAGGUUAGCAAAACGCUAAACCUAAUGGAUAAAGACAAGUCGCAAACACAAACUUGUCAAAAUAGGGUUUCGGAGUCCACCGAAAGAGCAAUUUGGAAUCCACCAAAUUUGAGAAAAAUCUCUGAAUUUUAUUAAAUAAAAACUGCCCCUCAAGGCUACAAUGGUUUGGUUUAAAUAGUAAGGGAAAUAAUAAAAAUAGCAAAUCUAGAAUAAUAAAAAUAGCAAAUCUAGAAUAAAUAAAAAUAGCAAAUCUAGAAUA